UACGAAGGUCCCAAGCGUUGUUCGGAAUCACUGGGCGUAAAGGGAGCGUAGGCGGCGCGGUAAGUCAGAUGUGAAAUCCCGGGGCUCAACCCCGGAACUGCAUCCGAUACUGCCAUGCUUGAGGGUUGGAGAGGUAGCUGGAAUUAUCGGUGUAGCAGUGAAAUGCGUGGAUAUCGAUAGGAACACUCGUGGCGAAGGCGAGCUACUGGACAACAUCUGACGCUGAGGCUCGAAGGCUAGGGGAGCAAAAGGG
rnacentral:rRNA from 1 species